UGAUGUCCCAGUUUUAUUUUACAAUGUCGAUGUGUGCGCUACCCGGGCAUCAGAUCCCACAGCCGUGUUUGCGUUUUAACUAAAAUACUCCACGGCGAUGGGGAGGAGAUGAGGUGGAUGGGCAGGUCAGUAGUUGGAGACACAGCACGAGGGCCCUGGGGGGAGGGGCUCCCCCAGGUUCAGGCCCCGCCCCUGACAGGCAGCACCCGCUGUGGGGGCUGGGGGCAGCCCAUCUCCAGGUCCUUUCUGCUGACACACGAGGGGCGGGGGAUGGGCCAGGCCCCCUGCCAGAUGCUCCCCGGACACCUCCUCCAGGACCCCACAGACACCCACAGGGCAGACGCUGUCCUCGCUCCCCGCCCACCCGCCUUCCCGGUGGGGAAACCGAGGCCUGGACCUGCCCUGGGCUACACCUGCUGAGCCCAGAGGCCCCUCCCCCACACGCAGCAGGCAGCAGAAAAUGAGCAAGGGCCGCCCAGACCCCCUCUGCUCCGAGCUCUCCAACAGCAGCCCCAGGCACUUCCCGAACAAGAUAAAUUAACUGAAUCUUCCAGAGACUCCGCGAACCUGCAUCAUCUCCGCUUUCCUCAUAAACUUUAGCAGCUUCCAUGCAAUUAAUUACCAGGACGAAGCGCAGCAUCAGAAGCCUCUCUGGUCACGAGGCUUCCACUUGCUCCCACACAGUUAACCCGCUUCCUCCCCCACCUUGGAGAGCCUCAGCAUUUGCCUGUCAGCCCCUAAUCACCGCCAGUCUCGCUCAUUAGCAAGCGUCCUUGGGCUGUGCCUGUCCUGCUGCUCCUGGUGAGCUCAGCAGUCACUCAGAGGCCAGCCCAGGGUGACCUGGACAGAAGGGACGGGCAGCCCAGGACGUGGCGGGACGGCGACCUUGCGGGUGCGUGAAGGCUCUGGGGUCCUGACGGCGUCCCGAGGGGACUAAGACACUCGUCAUGGCAGCAGAACUUACGGUCAGCCUCCCUCUCUUCCUCCCAAGACGAAGGCUGAUGUUUGGCACCCUCUUUGCUCGACAUUGCGAUAGUCCCCGGAAGGCCCCACGAUGUGCCCGGAGUCAUCGUUCACCGGUGCCGGAGACUCGAGCCCGUCUCAGCCUGAAUCUAUUUGGAAUAGAAGUGCUGCUGACAAGGCAAGGGUGACAACACGGUAUGAUGACCUGGAUGGGGCCGUGUUAUGAAAACCAGGGCUCUGUUCUUCACGAAUGCUUUCCCUGAAGACACCUAAUGGGGUUGCACACCCAUGUGUCCUCAAGACCAGACAGGACACAUAACCUGUAAAACAGCGGAGUAUAGGAGAACUGGUGUCGUAGGGGGGGGGGGGGUCAACCUUGAUCCACCUGAAAGUAUGACACUUUAACAGAUAAUUUCAGAACUUGUGGAGUCCAAGCAAAGCUGUUUUGAGGGCCAGACAUUCACAGCCUGUUUCCAUAGGGAGACCCUGGAGGCUCCAAGAGGGUCAGGAACUUCCUUGAGGCCACACAGUGGGUCUGGGACAGCCCCGGGAACAGAGCCAGGCAUCCCGUGGCCAAAGAGCCCAAGACUUGCCUGCUGGCUGUCUCCUCAGCCUCGUUCUCCCGCCUCUGAACACACACACUCAGCCAGGUGCUGGACUCCUGCCGCGUGCCUCAGAGACCACAGAGAGUGGGGGACCCUCUUCUCGGACAGACCUUCUGUCACUGCCACUACCCUGUGACCCGGCCCCUCCUCCGUACAGAGACCGUCUCCCAAGUAUCUGGAGACCCAGCAAGCGGGAGAGCCGUGGGGCAAACGCGUGGGCGUCGGAUCCCAGAUGGAAGAAUGUCGCACCGAGAUGUGGUUGAGCUGGGAAAACGUGUCCGGGAGGCAGACGCUCUGACCGGACACAAGGCUGACGGUUCCUCGGACGACUGUGUGAGGCUUCCGCUGCAGACGUCUUAGCAUCUUGCCGGGAGCCUCUGCUGCUCACUUCCCUUCACUGCAGGGGAGCAGACAGAGAGGCUCGGGUGCUCAGGUGCCGAACGGACAGAGCCCCGAGGACGCGCCAUGUCCCCUGUAGCCAGAGUAGGUGGUUUCCAGGAAUAGACUUGGAUUCCUACGGUUUCACCUCCAAAUUCUCGUGUGUGUGCAUGUGUGCGUGUGCAUGUGCAUGUGCGUGUGCGUGGAGGACGCUGUGUUUCCGUGUGUGCCCUCCAAAACAAACUCCCAGGACAACUGGGCUGGGAAGUGCCGUGUCUCUCCCUCCCUGUUUGAGAUUCAUAAACACAUUAGCUCAUAAAAUCUCUGAGCAACCCAGUGUCCUCUAGAAGAGGAGAAGAGAGAGGUUCCCCGUGGUCAGGCCAGAGCUCCCCAGGGUGCUAUUGAACUUGGGGCUCUUUAUACAGAAUGACUAAGAGCUCUGGGAAACGCUGAUCCAGAGCAAGUUUUUAAAUCUUCGUUAUUAGUAUGAGAGUUUCUUCCAAUUCCCCAUCCCCGAGCAGACCCUGACAUGGCAUUGAAAAAUACCAGGCAGGUUUGUCUUUGUCUUAAUACGAUCUCAAGUGGCAGAAAGAAACACAACUCAAAGCAGCUCUCGCAAAUAAUAGAAUUCACUGCCUCGUAUAACAAAAACGUCGAGGGUGACGGCUUCAGACGUGGCUCGAUCCAGGGGCUCCUGUGACAGUACCGCGGUUUUGUCUUCCCUUUCUGUCUCACAAAUCUGAUUCCCUUUUCGUGCCGUGGGUCUCCAUGUGGGAUCCGAGUCUCACAAAUACCUGCAUCUUCUAGAAAGCUCAGCGCUCUUCUUUCUCAUUUAGGUGGAAAAUCAAGAGUGUCGUGCUCCGCCCAGGGCUCCGUGUCCGCCGCUGGGUGAGUCUCCAGCAGGGGAAUCUGAUGAUGCGGUUAGCUGGGCUUGGGUCACAGAGCCAUCCCAGCUGAAGGGAGGAGCCAGCCCCCACCGCCCAGAACCACAGAGGCGAUGGCGCUCCAGGGAAAAUGCAGGCCCGUUACUAGAAGGGCGUGGGUUGCGUGCGGAUCCAGCAACGCCAGCGAAUGCCCGUCAUCCUUCUCGUCCCGGAUCACCCGUGUGGCUCUGCCUGCCUCCCCGGGCCUCCUCGGGCUGGACCCCGUCUUCCGUGUCUGCAGGCCACACCCGGCCCGUUCCCCCCGCUGUCCUCCCAGUGUGUGUGUGACACCUGCUCAGUGAGACCAGCUCUCGGGACCUGCAUCUCCACUGGCACCUGCUCUGUGACGCCAGCUCCUGGCACACACGCCCACGGCUCCCAGGAGUCCCAUUGGCACUUACUGGGCAGGAGAAUGAAUGACUGAACGGAACUGGACACGAGUCAAGGCAGUUUUCUGCUCAGUGAGCGGUGGUGGAGGGAGUGAACGAGGCCGCCCGCGGGGACAUCCACUGCGGAGGAGGUGGCCUGACCCCGGCCACUGGUCAGGGCCCCCAGGGCUGUCCCCAGAUGCGGGGGUGCCCUCUCCCGGGGAGCCCCAGGCUCUUGGCCGUCCUGAUGCUCUGGAAAGAAGUGAAAUAGCAGAGGAGCUGGUUUCUCUCCGGAAUUCCUGGAGUCACAUCUCAUAACUCUGGUGGCUGAGGGCCUGUUUUCAGGCAGCGUCUGCCAGACGCCGGCCAGAAACUGUGUGAGGAGUCCACAAGGCAGACUCCCGCGGUGGAGUUCUAGAAACUUCUAGAAACUUCUAGAACUCCUCCUCCUCCCAAGGCUUCCUCCUGGCUUUCUGUGGGCCAUGGCAGGGAGUUGGGCAGUUGUGAGUGACCCAGCCAGACUGUCCGUGGAAACCCUCGGGUUAUUUUCGGCACCUGAUAGUAACUUCCAGACACCGAGGUGGUGGGGGGUUCCGUGUUGUCCUACAGCCUCCGACCUCUGACCGGGUUGUGCGAAGCCAGGUCGAGCAGCUGGGGGCCUGCCUGGUCACCGUCACACCCUGUACUGGGAGGGCCUCAGAGUGGCCCGAGUCGAGGGCGUGUGCACAUUGGGACCACCUCGGAUCGCCUUGCUUAGACCUGACCGGGUUCCAUCUGUGGGGGGGGUUGACGUGCCAGACCCAGGGCAGGAUCUUUACUCCCUGCUCAGCUUGGCCCUGGCACCCUCCCGUCCGCAAACUGGCCCCAGGACUCUGUCUGACCGAGCGAGCGUGCAGCCCGCCGGCCUUCUGGUUCCUGCACCGGGACAUGCGUGGGUGGGGGCGGCAGUGUCCCCAUAUGCUCUCGAGCCCCCAUGCAGGGUGCCCUUCCAGGACCACCUCCUCCUUGAGUGUGUCAUAGAUAAAUAGGUGUCCCAGCUGGAAUGAGGCUUCCGGAACAAGAGGGGACGUGUGAGCAAGCGCACCCUGCGGCCGGCGGGCUGGGUGCACAGGGGACCCUCGCCCGGGGGCCAGGCUGGGGGCAGGGAAGGGGCCUGAGGUAUGAGAACACAGAGGGCCUUCUCAGGGCGCCCGUCCCGCUGGCCUGAAAUUUUGUCAUGGACGGUCAUUUCCAUGUUCCAGAAUUUAAAAUAAAGUAUUUGAAAUGCCCGCAACUCUUACGAUUCCCAAGCACCCACAUAAUUAAAGUUGCUUUAGCUACACUGCAUCUUUUCUGAUCUGAAAGCAAAAGCAGUAAAUAUGUCAGCCGCAAAUCGAUAAGACAAUUAUUCUGUAAUGAAUCCCAAACACCGUGAAUUAAACUGACAAGUGGCUACGGGC